rnacentral:lncRNA from 10 species
GUGGAAACCACCAACCAAUUGGAAGGUGACUAGGGUGAAUAUAGCCCAAGGAACUUGCAAAACUCUUUGGAGGGCCAAGGAGUAAAGGACUUCAUUCAGGGUGUGACAUGGUGGGCCACACCCAUCAACAGAAUCUCAGCCAGGGCUUCAGAACUAAUGUAAAAAGUGAAAAAAUCUUAUAACUCAGUUACAAAGACUUAGUUUUACUGCUAAUAAUGAACGUGGAACUUAUAGUCCUUUGCCUUCUACUCUGUCCAAAUCUGAUGAGUUAUUUUAGCCUAGAAAGUUCCAUAAAAUGUAUACCACCAAAAAGAAAAAUUCUGACUGCAGGGAAGCAGUACACUCUGUAGACCCCGGAGAAAAAUAAAUCACCAUGAGAUUUGACAACAAUCAAUUUUUCACUGCACGCUAAUCAAGCAGAUAGAAAGAAGGCCAUGGAAAUGUCUGUUUGAAGUUCUGAAGUAAACUACCUUGAUGUUGACAAAGAUGAGACAAACUACCUGAUGAAAGAAAUCAUAUUCAAGAAAGAAUCUUUAGAGAGGAAGGCAGCCUAUUUAUUUACAUGAAGAUCAAAGAACCUUUGCAUGAAUUGAGACUACAUUUUUUCCGAGUGAUUUGCAAAAGAUAAUCCUCAUGGCUGAAUGAGAAAAGUGCCUAGAUGCCAGUGUGAAGAAGAGACAGAGCAGAGACACGAACAACAUGUAAA